rnacentral:misc_RNA from 1 species
AGAAAAUGAGCCGAAUUAAAGCUUGUUUUUUAGGCUGUUUAAUAAACAAGCCAAAAGUUUAAGGUUAUAGAUAUUUGACUUGAGUUAAACUAGAGUUUAAAAAGUUUUGAUAAAUCAAACCUAAACGCUUUAAAACUUGGCACGGUUGAUUUGCACCCUAAGUAUGGCACUCAAACGUAUUUUUCAAUCUUACAAGAGAAUGGGGGUGUUUGGGAAAUUUCAGCACACUCUCCCACCUAACUCUUUUGUUUUGACUGUCUACUAGUUAAAGCUAUAAUUAUAUAGUAGCCGUUGAAUGCACCAUUCACUCUAGCUCUACUUACCCAGAAGGCAGUAGCAGGACCCUGCUUGAAAGAAACCUCUCUCUCAAAAAUGCAGGGAGGACA